UGACGAUCCCGCGGGCCGGGAUACGUGGCGCCCAACAUGGGGCAAGAAUUAAGUCAGCAUCAAAUUUAUGUAGGAUAAUUAAAAGAGGCUUUAACGAUACGAGGAGUAAAGGUUAAAGGUAAUGAUUUGUUUAAAUUUUUUGAUUUUGUAAAACAUACUUGCCCUU
rfam:Papio anubis isolate 1X1155 chromosome X, whole genome shotgun sequence.